rnacentral:lncRNA from 1 species
UUAUUGUAAUUAUGUUAUAAGUGUUACAUUGCUAGUCACGUUAGUUAGUUUUACUAACUAACUCCUAGGUCUUAGACUAUAUACACAUUGUAAAAUUCAUCAUUUGUAAUCAAUUAAUUGAAUCAAUAAUAUAAGGUAAAUCAGAAUAAUUCACAUUCUCAAUAUGGUAUCAGAGCUCCUUCAGUAGGUGAUGUUGAUUUGGAUGGUGUAGAACUUGGUGAUUUUUGAUAUGGAUCAUCAAAUCGGUGCAACCAAUGGAUACAUGACUUUAGAAACUUUUCACAUACUUCAAAUUGAAGUCUUCCAACAUUUCUUCUAGAGUUGUUACUUUAUCUUUAGAAGAACCUACCACGUCUUCUAUAGUUACAUCUGAAAUUGGAUCCUCCACAUACGAAAUUGCAACGGUUGGGAUUGGAUUUGCCACCAAUGUAUGUAGAGUUCUAAACAUACUUGGCUUGUAGUUCUUGGACUAAUAAUGGAUCCAUUUUCUUUGAUCUUUCAAUGCGAGUUUCCAUGACCAUAGGCAAGGCCUCAAUGUCAUCAAUAAUGUAUGAGGCUUGACGAGAAAUAACAUAUGCAACAAUUGUAUCAUAUUCAUCAAAGAGAUCAUCAAGAAACACUUUAAUGUGUUCUUGAUCAUCUAUUGGAGAGACAAUUGUUUCUUUUUCCUUUUUUUGAUUUUUGUUUUCAAAUUGCGGUUUCUUUUCUUUCUGCAAUUAAUUUGAUAGUAAAGGAUAAUAAUCAACAAAUCAAUGACUUUGGAUAAUUAACUCUGUUAAAGUCCUUAUUGUAAUUAUAUUAUAAGUGUUACUUUGCUAGUCAAGUUAGUUAGUUUUACUAACUAACUCCUAGGUCUUAGACUACAUACACAUUGUAAAAUUCAUCAUUUGUAAUCAAUCAAUUGAAUCAAUAAUAUAAGGUAAUUCAGAAUAUUUCACAUUCUCAAUAUGGUAUCAGAGCUCAUUCAGUAGGUGAUGUUGAUUUGGAUGGUGUAGAACUUGGUGAUUUUUGAUAUGGAUCGUCAACUCGGUGCCAACAAUGGAUAAAUGACUUUUGAAACUUUUCACAUACUUGACAUUGAAGUCUUCCAGCAUUUCUUCCAAGGUUGUUACCUUAUCUUUAGAAGAACAUACCACGUCCUCUAUAGUUACCUCUGAAAUUGGAUCCUCCACCUAUGAAAUUGCAACGAUUGGGAUUGGAUUUGCCACCUAUGGAUGUAGAGUUCUAAACAUAGUUGGCUUGUAGUUCUUGGACUGAUA